UGGCGGCACCCGUGUAAAAUUUUGAAAGGUUCCCAUAUCAUCGUAGAAACACCACAUUUAGCAUAAAGAGAAGGUAGAAGAAAGCUGGUAUCGAACAGAACUGUUUUGUGAAUGUGUAGAAUUUGGCAAUACAACGAAUUAUUUCAACAAAAUGUAGAAGGCAGCUGGUAUUGAAGAGGAUGGUUUCGUGAAUGUCUAAGAUGUGGCGAAUCAGUGGAAAAGAUGAAUUAAAUGUGAGAAACGUAGAUGGUUUAGGAAACGCUUAAAUGUCAUGAGAAGAGAGAUUACAGCAAGAAGAUGGAGGACUGUUCUAUUUGUCAGAAAAACAUAGAAGAUUGUGAUACACCCACUGUGCGUCUUGGAGAGAAAGGCUGUACUGGAAUUAUCAGUGCCAACAGCAGAAAUGAACGUCCGGUGGAGGUGAAACCUGGGGAUAUAGUCCACACUCAAUGUCGGAAAGACUUUACAAGACCUCGAAAAAACUCGAAAGCAUUGACACCUAUCAUUUUUUCUCCCCCAAGAGUUCUUAGAUCUGACACUGAACAAUUUGAUUUUAAAUCAAAAUGCUUAUUUUGUGCUUCAUUUGCUAAAUGUUCUUCAUUUUCAAGAAAAAGAUCGCAUGAUGUCUAUCUCGUUCGUAGCUUUGAUUUUCAAAAUAAAAUUCUGCAACAUUGUGUGGAAAGAAAUGACAAAUGGGCAAAUGAAAUUCAUUCCAGGUUGAUUCAAGUGCUGGACC